rnacentral:rRNA from 1 species
GUGGGGAAUCUUCCGCAAUGGGCGCAAGCCUGACGGAGCAACGCCGCGUGAGGGAAGAAGGCUUUCGGGUUGUAAACCUCUGUCCUUGGUGACGAAACAAAUGACGGUAGCCAAGGAGGAAGCCCCGGCUAACUACGUGCCAGCAGCCGCGGUAAUACGUAGGGGGCGAGCGUUGUCCGGAAUUACUGGGCGUAAAGGGUGCGUAGGUGGCCUUUUAAGUUGGAUGUGAAAUACCUGGGCUUAACUUGGGGGGUGCAUCCAAAACUGGGAGGCUAGAGUGCAGGAGAGGAAAGCGGAAUUCCUAGUGUAGCGGUGAAAUGCGUAGAUAUUAGGAGGAACACCAGUGGCGAAGGCGGCUUUCUGGACUGUAACUGACACUGAGGCACGAAAGCGUGGGGAGCAAACAGGAUUAGAAACCCCUGUAGUCC